UAGUCCGUAUCCUCGGACUUGUCCCGGCACUGUUCAAACAUGGUGGAUUACUAUGAAGUUCUAGGCGUGCAGAGGUACGCCUCCCCCGAGCACAUGAAGAAAGCACCCAAACCUGUCUUGGAUCAUGCUGAUAAAAAUCCUGAGAAUAAAGAAGAAGCUGAGUGAAAAUUCAAACAAGUGGCUGAGGCAUAUGAGGUGUUAUCAGAUGCUAAAAAAUGGGACAUCUAUGACAAAUAUGGCAAAGAAGGAUUAAAUGGUGGUGGAGGAGGUAGACGUCAUUUUGACAGUCCAUUUGAGUUUGGGUUCACAUUCCAGAACCCAGAAGAUGUCUUCAGGGAAUUUUUUGGUGGAAGGGAUCUAUUUUCAUUUGACUUCUUUGAUAAUGAAAGCCCAUUUGAAGACAUUUUUGGGAACCGAAGGGGUCCCCAAGGAAGCAGAAGCCAUGGUACAGGGUCCUUUUUCUCCACCUUCAGUGGAUUUUCAUCCUGUGGAGGUGGAUUUUCUUCAUCUGAUACAGGAUUUCCUUCAUCUGGAUCCCUAGGUCACGGGGGCCUCACUUCAUUUUCAUCCACAUCACUUGGGGGCAGUGCGAUGGGUAACUUCAAAUCUAUAUCAACUUCUACUAAAAUCAUUAAUGGUAGAAAAAUCACCACAGAGCCCGGGGAGAUGAGAAUUGUUGAGAAUGGUCAAGAAAGAGUAGAAGUCGAAGAAGAUGGACAGUUAAAGUCCUUAACAAUAAAUGGUAAGGAGCAGCUGCUGCGCUUGGAUAGCAAGUCAUUCAAUGCACGCAUUUAA